CGGCGGCAGCCGGGCGGGGAAGCAGCACGGUUCUCCCUGCCGCCGCCGCUCCGCUCGGUUCUCUCCCGGUGCUCGGGGCGACGGGUGUGGGAAGGAGAACGGCUGAGGUCCACUCGGACGCGCCGGGCUCGUAUGUGUCGUUCCCCCUACCCUCCCCCGCCCCGCCUCUCCACCUCGAUAUCUUUCACCACCCCCCCUCGGCGAGGAGUUAGUGCCACCGCUCCGCCUUCUCCUUUUCGCAAUGUUGACGCAAUCUAUAAAUAGUGGAACAAAAGGACCAACUUCCUCGCAGCUUUGCUGAAACUGCACAAAAAAGGCAACCGGGGGGGCGAGGGGGGGCACAAUGUUGGGUUUUUAAAUUUUAUUUUUCUCCGGUUAAAAGGCGAAUCCUGCCUCCUCUUCCCCCCACCCCCCACCUACGCUACUGGAAGAUUAUUUCUUUUUUUUUUUUUUUUCUCGCUAUCUCCUUUGCUGGCAACGUCCUGCGAGCGGCUAUUUUGCUUCUGAAUCGAGAGAAGGGUUUCCCCCUCCCUCCCGCCCCCCUCCCGCUCUUCUGACACUCAUGGAUGAAAUCCACACACCAACAUCUAACCUGUUAAUGAAAGUCUAUUCUUUACAGCCAAGGACGGCCCUCAGAAAGCCCAGUCCAGCAAGGAUAACAGGAUGGCCAGGACAGCAGAGGACUUGCUCUGGGUGGAUGAGGAAGAGGUCAAAGACUUGUUGGGUGCACAGGCGAGGUGCCUGAGGACUGGAGAAAGGCCAAUGUCACGCCAGUCUUCAAAAAGGGCAGGAAGGAUGACCCAGAAAACUACAGGCCAGUCAGCCUCACCUCCAUCCCUGGAAAGGUGAUGGAACAACUCAUCCUGAAUAUCAUCACUAAAUAUAUGAAGGAAAAGAUGGUUAUCAGGAAGAGUCAACAUGGAUUCACCAAGGGGAAAUCCUGUUUGACCAACCUGAUAGCCUUCUAUGAGUGCAUAACCGGCUGGCUAGAUGAGGGGAGAGCAGUGGAUGUCAUCUACCUUGACUUCAGCAAGGCUUCUGACACUGUCUCCCAUAACAUCCUCAUCAGAAAGCUCAAACAGUGUGGAUUGGAUGAGUAGACAGUGAGGUGGUUCGAGAGCUGGCUGAAUGACAGAGCCCAGAGGGUGGUGAUCAAUGGCACAGAAUUGAAUUGGAGGCCUGUGGCCAGUGGAGUUCCACAGGGAUGGGUUCUGGGGCCAGUCUUGUUCAACAUCUUCAUCAAUAACCUGGAUGAGGGGACAGAGUGUACCCUCAGCAAGUUGGCUGAUGACACCAAACUGGGAGGACUGGCUGAUUCCCCAGAAGGCUGUGCUGCCAUUCAGCGGCAUCUUGACCAGUUUGAGAAUUGGGCAGAGAGGAAACUCAUGAGGUUCAACAAGGACAAGUGCAGAGUCCUGCCUGUGAGGAGGAACAACCCCAUGCACCAGUACAGGCUGGGGAUUGACCUGCUGGAGAGCAGCUCUGCGGAGAGGCACCUGGGAGUCCUGGUUGAUAACAAACUAACCAUGAGCCAGCAAUGUGCCCUCGUGGCCAAGAAGGCCAAUGGCAUCCUGGGAUGUAUCAAGAAGAGUGUGGCCAGGAGGCCGAGGGAGGUUCUUCUGUCCCUCUACUUUGCCCUGGAGCCGUCUCAUCUGGAGUCCUAUGCCCAGUUCUGGGCUCCUCAGCUCAAGAGGGACAGAGAACUUCUGGAGUCCAGUGUAGGGCCACCAAGAUGAUCAGGGCACUGGAACAUCUUUCAUACAAGGAAAGGCUGCAGGAUCUGGGGCUGUUUAGUCUAGAGAAGAGGAGACUGAGGGAGGAUCUCAUUAUUAUUUACAAAUCUCUAAAUGGUGGAUGUCAGGAGGUUUGGAGCAUCCCUUUUUUUCUACUGUAUCUAGUAACAGGACGAGGGGUAAUGCAAUGAAGCUGGAACACAAAAAGUUUUAAAUAAAAACAAGAAAAAACUAUUUUGCUGUUCAGGUGAGGGAGCCCUGGCACAGGCUGCCAAUGGAGGAUGUGGAGUCUCCUUCUCUAGAGGUCUUCAAAACCUACCUGGACGUGUUCCUAUGUGACCUGAUCUAGGUGGACCUGCUUUGGCAGGCGGGUUGGACUAGAUGAUCUGUUAGGGUCCCUUCCAACCCCUACCAGUCUAUGAUUCUAUAAAUUGCUUAAAGUUAAUUCAAGAAUCAUGUCUUAAAAAGAAAACUAAAGAAAAAGUGGCCGCCAAACUAAAAUGAAACUGAUUGUUGAACCUAUAUCAAAAAUAAACUACCUCUGAGUCAUAUCUCAAUACAUUCUGCUUGAAAACUACUGCCUCUUUCUUGCAUAAGUAUUACAUCUUAUUUCUAAUAUAAAAAAUAGCAAAUAAUCUUGGCAAAGGUUAAAUUAGUUCAGUGGUUGAUAACACUAUUAAAGUAGUUCUUAAAGUAAUUCUCAGGGUGUAUAUCAGUUAUUGGCAUAAAGGGUGCACCAUGUCUCCAGUCUAUUUAAACAGACUUGCACUUCCAAACCCAAUUUGGUAAAUAGCUGGGAAAGGGUUACAAUCCCAUAUUACAAUCUCUAUGGUAGCAACCAUAGAGAUAGGAGAACAUGAGGAAAUCAUAAGCCAGUAGUAGGGUUCUAUGCCUUUUACUCCUUACUCAACAAUACAGUUACUAACAGAAAACAGAAACUGAACCACUUCUUGGGAUACCAAAAAAGAGGUCUGAGGCAUCUCUCCAAAUCCUGUGAACUUCAGACUACUGUGAUCUGUCUCCUGAACUAUGGAUUACUCCGUGCAACAUUAAUUUAAGCUGUGAGCUAUCUAAAUGACUGGACAGCCAAUAUCAACACUCAACAACUAUAUUCUUAGACACAUAAGAGGGUUCUCAGCUACCAAUAUUCUACCCUUUAUCUGUAGCUAUUUAAAAGGAAAAUCCCUGUGUUUAAGAUGUAUGCUUAAUAUAUUGAUACAUACAAGAAUCAUUACUUACUGAAGGCAGGGAGAUAGAGUAAGAUUAAAGACCUGAUUAAGGCAGUAAGUUAGAGACAGAAUUAAUUCCUCUAUAGAUUCAGUCACCUUUUCAUUAAA